UACAGAGGGGGCAAGCGUUGUUCGGAAUUAUUGGGCGUAAAGGGCGCGUAGGCGGCCUUCUAAGUCGAACGUGAAAUCCCCGGGCUCAACCCGGGAACUGCGUCCGAUACUGGUGGGCUUGAAUCCGGGAGAGGGAUGCGGAAUUCCAGGUGUAGCGGUGAAAUGCGUAGAUAUCUGGAGGAACACCGGUGGCGAAGGCGGCAUCCUGGACCGGUAUUGACGCUCAGGCGCGAAAGCCAGGGGAGCAAACGGG
rnacentral:rRNA from 1 species